rnacentral:rRNA from 1 species
AGCAGCCGCGGUAAUUCCAGCUCCAAUAGCGUAUAUUAAAGUUGUUGCAGUUAAAAAGCUCGUAGUUGAAUUUUAGGCCUGGCCGGGCGGUCCGUCUUUGGCGAGUACUGUUCUGUGUCGGGUCUUACCUUCUGGUGAACCGGAAUGUUCUUAAUUGAGUGUACCGGGAGCCAGGACCAUUACCUUGAAAAAAUUAGAGUGUUUAAAGCAGGCAUUUGCUUGAAUAGAUUAGCAUGGAAUAAUAGAAUAGGACGUUGGUUCUAUUUUGUUGGUCUAGGACCACCGUAAUGAUUAAUAGGGAUAGUUGGGGGCAUUAGUAUUCAAUUGUCAGAGGUGAAAUUCUUGGAUUUAUUGAAGACUAACUAUUGCGAAAGCAUUUGCCAAGGAUGUUCUCAUUGAUCAAGAACGAAAGUUAGGGGAUCGAAGACGAUCAGAUACCGUCGUAGUCUUAACCAUAAACUAUGCCGACUAGGAAUCGGGCGACGUUAUUUUAUGACUCGCUCGGCGCCUUAUGGGAAAC